GGGCGGAAAAGUGGCCGGGCGCGGCGGCGGGAUGCGGCGCAGCUAACGGUCCCCGGCGGCCGCCGGAGCCGCUAGGCGCAGAGGCAGUUACCCCGUCAGCACCACCUGCCAGGACCCUGAAGAAUACAUAAGUUGGAGUAAGAACUGUUGUGCAACCUGUCAACCAGGAGUCCCAGUUCCAUUGCUUCUAAAUUGAAAUUUGAAUGGAGACAAAUAUCCUACUUUGAUGGCCACUCAUAUUCCUUAGUUCUUGGGCCUCUUUCUCCAUCUCCAGACUCAUGGACAUCUGCAGAGCCUUUCUCCAGUCAUCUGCUCUCUGGUUCUUUAUGCUACCCCACAUGGCAGAUGCCUUGGUGAUGAAUGUAGCCUGCCUAGAUAAUUGAGGCUGUCUUUCUGCUUUAAGAUCAGCUGGCUGGCACCUGUGCAGUGGGAGAGAGUUCUUGUCACUGGUGACUCAUCGUGCAGGGAGCACAAGGAAGAGCAAGGGGAUAGUGUCUCACAAGUGUAGGGCUGGAGCUACAGGAACCAUCCAGGUGCACUGGCUUGGCCUCUGCAUCUUUCUGUGCCACUGUCUCAUUCUGUUUCCGGCUGUGCGUGGAUGCGGAUGGCCCAGAGAGGGAAGGUGCACAGUUAUCUGGUGUUUGGACCUCCUCCUGGCUGAAGAUGAAGGCCCAAAACAGGAUCUUUCCCCAAAGCUGUGUUGCUUUGGCCAGGAAGGUGGCCGGUUGUCUGGAGCCGAAGAUGGCGCCGCCUCAGAAGCUCUGUGGCUCUCGCCUUUCCCAGAAACGGCUGGCCUCUGUAUUCCACACCCUCACCAGUGUAGCCUGCCCUCCGCGGAGUCCCGGAGCCAAGGAGACUUCUGCUGCGGCCUGAGGCAGAAACCUCUCGGGCUGGGCGGACCCCUUUGCUCUCACCAGGAAGGUGGCCGGUUGUCUGGAGCCGAAGAUGGAGCUACCUCAGAAGCUCUCUGGCCUUUUUUUUUUUUUUUAGUUGUCUUUUAUUUUUACAAAGCUGGAGACCAAAGUUGGGCUCUUUUCCAGGUCAGGCAAGUACUCCGCCUAUUUUACGCCCCUAUCUACUCUGAAAUAGUUUUAAAUUAGUACAUUUUUAUUAAAGUUUUUACAAAGAAC
rnacentral:lncRNA from 1 species